rnacentral:lncRNA from 1 species
AUAGAGUUUUUGAGCUGAAAAAGCUAAGAGGGAGAGCAAAAACAAGGAAUCAAGAGCAGAAAGAAGAAGUCUCUGAGGACAAGGAGAUAGGAAAAUGAACCUUAACCAUUGAAGUAUGAAUUGUGGUGUAGAGGAAGAUGAAUGUAUAGGUAAAAGGGUGCAUGAAGGAGAAGUUAGCCAUGCAGAAGAAGAAGAAGACAUGUUCUGCUAUGUUAGGAGAGAAUGGAACAGAGACACUCUUAAACAAAAUAUAAUAAUUUUAAAUGACAACUAUACUCCACGCAAAUUUGUCCACGCUUGGCACGAGUCUCAUGAUGUCUUUAAAAAUGCUUUUCAUAAUUUUUACUCCCUCUGAUCAUUCAAAGAAAAAAUGUAUAAAUAAAGGAGAGAAAAAAAUGGUUUUAAAUGUAAGUAUUGGUGCAUUAUCCACUAUCAUAAAUACUAAAUAGAAUAUACUCCAUCCGUUUCUUUUUAAGUGUCACUUUUGAAGAAAUUUUUUAUUCCUGUUUAGUUGUCACUUUCAAAGUUCAAUGCAACAUUAAAUGUUAUUUUACCAAUAUUGUCCUUAAUUAUUUAUUGCGGAGAGAGAAAGUAUAGCUUAUUGCAUCAAAAUUAGUAUCAAUUGUUGAUUGUCUUGGUUUGUGUAAAUGUCAAAAUGUGACAAUUAAAAAAGAACUGAGGUAGUAUUGAAUUAGGAGUGAUAAAAGUAAUAUUAAUUACAGUCAUGAAGGGAAAAAAUAAUUAAUAUUGUAUUGAAAAAUAAAAUGACUCAGUUAUUUUGGGACAUUUUUUGACAGUUAUUAUGGAACAGAUGGAGUAAAAGAUAAGGGUCAUGUUAAUUUAUGCUCUAAAGGCAGACACAAGUUAAUCAGCUAUAAAAGGAAUAAGCGAUAAAUUUUGUAUUGAAAGUAUAAAUAUUUGAACUUUUGUAACGUUGAAUACUCAAUUUUAAAAAAAUAAUAAUUUUAUCUUUAAUUUUUUAAGGGUACAAAAUAACAUUUUACUAAAGGAUAUAUUUAAGAACAACUUUAUUUAGAUGGAAUUUAUAAUUAGACACUAUGGAAGUAAAAGUGUUGACCGUAGUAAAAAAAAAAAUGUUGACCGUUGUUGUUAUUGCUGCGUCUGCAUGAGAGUGAGAGCAUCCUGACUUGUGCCGGCUAAGUCAAUCUUGAAAAGAGUUAACCAUUGUUGCAAUUUAAAAUUAGGUUAUACUUGUGCUCUAUAGAUAGUAUAUCGUAAGUUAAAAUUGUAUCUUAUAAAGAUACUUGUUAAAAUUUUAAAAAUAGUUUUCUCUCAAUUUUUUUUUAAAUAAUUUAUUAAGAAAAUUAAGUUUUAAAAUUUUGAUAAAUAAAUUGAUAGUACUAUUUUUAAUACAUAAUUUCUAUCUUCGAUAUACUAACAAUAACAUGCUCUAAGGACAUAUUAUUAAUUAUGAGUUUUUUUUUUAUGAUGGGCAAAUCUGUACAUAUUAAGAAAUUUAAAAAAGUAAGUUUACAUUAGAACUUGUGCGUUUAAUAAUAAAUAUGUAUCAUUUUGUCAAAAAAAAUAAAAAAAAUAAAUAUGUAUCAUUUUAAUAAAUAAUUGUUUUUUUUUGUCAAGUAGUUUAGUGGCUAGAGAAAUUCACCGAAAGAUGAAUAAAUGGGGUGUCUGGGGUUCAAACUCCGACCCCACACAUAUUAUGUUAUCCCUUACUAAAUGAGCUAAGCUCAUGGAGACUAAUAAAUAAUUGUUUUAUUUCAAUAAAAAAUUUCUACUUUUAUUACUUUAACAUCUGCAAUAUUUGUAUGUUAAACAAACCAAUUAAUUAUAAGUUCCACUGCCUUUCAAUUUUUUUUUUUAAGUUCCACUAUAUUUUUUUUUUUAAAGAACUAACUGCAUUGAUUUGAUCGCCAUCAAAUGUUGAUUGCCUCAUUCUUGUAAUUAUUAGUGGCCCACAUCAUUGUUUUGUCCCCAACUAUUUAUCUUUUUGUCACGAGUUCUUUCACAACACUUUUUAAAGAUUUUAAAUUGAUUUUUUUUUAGGAAAAUAUUACACAAACACCCUUUAAUCAUACACCCUAUUGUACACCCUAUAUAUUAAAGAUAUUUUGGUAAAUUCAUCUCAGAGUCAUACUUUCUCUUUCAUCUCCUCUCCCUUUUCCUUACCACAUGUGAGGAUUUUAUGUGGGUGUAAGAGGUGUAUUGUCACAUAGGGGUGUACAUGUAUCAUUACUUUUUUUUUUUUUUAAAGUUAAAUAUUACUCCAUUCGUUUUAAAAUGAGUAUCAUUUUAGCCAAAAAAAUUAUUUCAAAAUGAAUGUCAUUUUCAGUUUCCAAUACAAUAAUAACUUUUUUUUUUCAAUUGUACCCUCCAAUUAAUACACUACUUUCAAAGUAUAACUUUUAAAACUAACCAAUAGUUAAUAAGGAUAAUUUGAUAAAAUAAUAUCCUCUUUCUUUUAAUCAUUGCAUUUCUUAAUAUGUGUGUAAACUCCUAAAACGACACUCAUUUUAAAACGGAGGAAGUACAAAUUUUAAUACUAUGAAAACACAUAAUUUUGUACAACAUUAUUAUUAAAGGUCCUUAAAAAGCGUCCAAAGACACUCGUUAACAUUUUCUUUAUUUUAUUUUAGGAAAAGGUGUGAUUAAGACAUUUCAUUCAUAGGGUUUUUUUUUUUUUUUUUUUUUUUUUUUUACAUUUUUAAAUAUUUGAGUACAUAAGUUCCAUUUUUUUUCCUAUACUUGCUUCCUUAACUAGUUUUACGAGAUAACUUAUUAGCCUUUUCCAUUAACAUAUACUUAAUCCGUCCUUAUAUACGAGCCCUCUUUAUCUUUUUCACAUUUUAAUUUCUUUUUUGAGGGGUUAAAAAAAUUUGUAGUGCUUAAUGUCCUUAUUUUACGUGAAUAUUACUAAAUUGUCAUUUGUUUGAAUGUAUUUUAAAGUUGACUUUUCAUAUUUUAAGGCAAAUCAAUAAGAUUGGUGCUAGUCACACCCAAAAAAAAACAAGUUACACCCCAGAAUGACUAAUAUACCCUUUAAUUAAAAUAAAAAUUUCAAAUCAACUAAAUUUACAUUAUCGUAAAUUGAACAUAAGUAAACUUAAUUUACAUUAACCUAAAUUGAACCUAAGUAAACUUAAUUUACAUUAACCUACAUUGAACGUAAGUAAACUGAAUUUACAUUAACCUAGAUUGAACGUAAGUAAACUUAAUUUACAUUAACCUAGAUUGAACGUAAGUAAACUGAAUUUACACUAACCUCUUAUAUACAUACGUAAACUAAAUUUACAUUAACCUACAUUGAACAUAAGUAAACUUAAUUUACAUUAACCUAAAUUGAAGAUAAGUAAACUUAAUUUACAUGUAAACUUAAUUUACAUUAACCUAGAUUGAACGUAAGUAAACUUAAUAAUUUACAUUAACCUAGAUUGAACGUAAGUAAACUGAAUUUACAGUAACCUCUUACAUACAUACGUAAACUAAAUUUACAUUAACCUAAAUUGAACAUAAGUAAACUUAAUUUACAUUAACCUAGAUUGAAUGUAAGUAAACUGAAUUUACACUAACCUAAAUUGAACAUACGUAAACUUGAAUUUACAUUAACCUACAUACGUAAACUACACUAACCCCUUUUAUAUACAUACACGUAAACUUAAUUUACACUAACCUCUCACUUAAAAUCAAAUUGACAGGCAUAUCUCAUACCAAAACAAACAAUAAAUAAAUAGAAACUCAUCGAAAAUGAAAUUCACUAACCUUUAUGAAUAUAGUACAGAUCAAUAACAAAUAUGUUAAUUCAGAUAUUGGUUGCACAUCUAUGGUGAUUUGUGGAUGAAAGGGGGUAAAGGUUCAGAAUGAUCAUAAAAGAUGGGUUUUUAAAAAUUUACAUGAAGAGGACAAUUUUGGUAUUAUUGUAAAAUUUUAAAUAAAUUUAGGUGUAACUUGUUUUUUUUGGGGUGUGACUAGCACCAAUCAAUUAAUAAUAUUAAUUAGGGGUAUGUUUAGAAAAAAAAAUAAUUACAUCUAAUAAUUUGUAUAAAUCUUUAUAUAAAAGGACAAAUUUCUUUCUCAAUAAAUACUUAUAAUUAGGGACAAAGGAAGUGACUUCAAAGCUUAAAGUAUUAAAAAAGAAAUGUUUUGAAACUGUCAUUUUAUUAAGAGUUUAUAGUUUAUUUAAUUAGCUUAUAGAUUAGGUUUAGGUUUAAAUGCUCUUUUGGUCUUUAAGUAUUUAAUUGAUAUCGCUUUGGUCCCUUAACUAAAAAAAAAAAUUGUUUGAGUACUUUAAGUUUUUUUUUAGUCUCGUUUUGGUCCCUUCUGUUAGGUUUCCGUUAAGGUUUAAAAAAAAAAAUUAACUCCUAGACACGUGUCACCUUGUCAUUGACUCUGACUUUUUUUGUUUACAAAAAAAAUAAUUCCAAAGUGACACGUGUCCCAGAGUUAACACGUGUCACCUUGUCAUUGGUUAUGAAAAUUUUUUACAAAAAAAUAAAAUAUAUAUAUUAAAAAAUAUUUUUUUUUCUAAAAAAAUAAUAUAUUUUUUUUUGUAAAAAAAAAAAUCUCAGAGCCAAUGACAAGGUGACACGUGUCCACACAUAACGUUUUUUAUUAAACCUAACGAAAAUCUAACAGAAUGGACCAAAACGAGACUAAAAAAAAACUUAAAGUACUCAAACAAACUUUUCUUAUUUAAGGGACCAAAACAAUAUCAAUUAAAUACUUAAGGGACCAAAAGAGCAUUUAAGCCUAAAUUUAAUUUUAUCAUGUCAUGUUUAAUUAUUACUCCCUCCGUUUCUUUUUAAGUGUCACUUUUGGAGAAAAUUUUUGUUCCUAUUUAACUGUCAUUUUCAAAGUUCAAUAUAACAUUAAAUGUUGUUUUAUCAAUAUUGUCCUUAAUUAUUUAUCGCGGAGAGAGAAAUAUAUGAAAUGAGAUAUUAAAUGAAUAAGGUCAUUAUAGUAAAAGUAUAGCUUAUUGCAUAAAAAGUAGUAUCAAUUAUUGAUUGUCUUUUUGUAUAAAAUAUCAAAAUGUGACAAUUAAAAAGGAACGGAAGUAGUAGUCACACUCAAAAUAGUUUUUCUUUUUUGAGUGGUAUCCUCUCUAGUUGAAAGAUGGAAGCUUUGUACGGACCUUACUUACAUCAUUGCUUGGACCUUAAUUCCAUCCAUCGCCAUGCCUGAACUCAAAACUUGAUCGUCUAAAUAAUCUACCGCCAAGAGCGAACAAAACAUGAUUAACUAACGUCUUUCAGUCUGACUCUAAAUGUUGGAAAUGUUAGCGGUCAACAUUCGAUGGGAUUUAGUCCCAUGUCGGAUAAAUAUGAUUCUUGAGAAGAGUUUAUAAAGAGGAGACACUCCUCACCGUACAAGUCGGAUUUGUAAGGAUGCGUUAAGUUCGAUAUUCGGUAUAUGAUAUCAUAGCUUAUCGGGACUAUCUUUGGGCUUCCUACAUCGUCCACGCUUCAGGCCCAUUGGGCCGGGCUGAAGCGUGAGGGGGUGUGUUAGAGGUGAACACUUGGAUAGAUAAGAUUCUUGAGAAGAGUUUAUAAAGAGGAGACAUUCAUCACCGGACCGCGAUAUUCGUUACAGGAAAUUAGUGGACUAACAUAGGUUGUAAACUAAUCUAUCGUAAAAUAAAGGCUUAAUAGCAGUUUUUCCUCCUAAGUAUCAUGAAGUUGCGAUUUUGGCCCCCUAACAAAAUAAAAUACAAUUUAGCCCCUUAAGUACUGCCUCUUUUGCAGUUUUGGCUCCUAGGCCAAUUUUGACCUAAAAUAGACGUGGCCGCCACUGUAAUUUAUUUAUUUUUUAUUUUUUUAAAUAUUUUUUAUUACUAUAAAAAUAAUAAUAAAUAACAAUAAUAAUAAUUUUUUAAUAAUUAAAAAAAAAAAAUUACACACGUGACGUCCAUAAUACUUAGAGGGCCAAAACUGCUAUUAAGCCUAAAACAAAAUACGAGCACAAACUGGCGGAAAAUCCAAUUCAUCAAGCGUUGGAAUUUUGUCGGGGCAUUGGUGAGUUGUCUUGUGUCUAUCCUCCUCCUUAACAAGGAUUUGUUGGUACCCGUUAUGAAGAUCAAGCUUGGAAAACAAUUUAUCCAUAUAAUUUCAGUGUAAGCGCUAGUGGCAGUUCCAUGACCCUGGAUAAGAGGGUGCAAACUUUUUUACACAUAUAUAUAUAUAUAUAUAUAUAUAUAUUUUUUUUUUUUUUGUGUGUCUGAGAGAGACCAAGUUUUAAAGUAGUGAUUUUUUUUCUUAUUCCAUCAUUAAAAUCAGCGCAACUAAGUUGAAUAAAAAAAAAUAUCAACACAAUUAGUUAUUUUAACACGAACCAACACUUAAAUAAAACUCAUGUUAUUAUUAAAAUCAAUGCAACUAAUCAUUUUAUAGGUAAAAAUUAAAGAGGAGAAAAGAAAUCAUUAAAAAUCACGUUGAAAAGGUAAAAACAAUACCAUUUUAAAACAUACAAAAUAUUAAAAAAAAAAUGAGAGACUGAAAGAAAAAGAAAAAGUAUUCGAAAAAAGGUUAUGAUCAAUUGACACAACGGUGUCAAACUUAAUCCAGAACACUUCACAUAAUUCUUUACCACAUAAUAAAAUUCAUCGUUGCAUUGAAAGUUAUUAUCACAUUGUUUAUGUUUACAAAAUUUGACAUUAUUUAGAUAUCAUUUGAUACGUUACCUAGAUACAUAAAUAUUAACAUGUUUGAUAAAAAAAAAUUAAGACGUUAAUAUUGAUGCAAGUCGUUGACAUAUCAAACAAUAUUUAAUGUCAAAUUUUAUAGUAAUAGCUUUCAAUUCAACCAAGAAAUUUGUAAUAUGAUCAUGUUGGUAAAGAAUUAUCGAAUGUGUCAUAUAUUAAAUUUGACUUUGCAGUAUCAAUUGGUCCUAUACUUAAAAAAAUAUAUGAAUUAUUGAGUAGUUAUAUAUUGUGUUUUCAAAGAUCAAACACAUAACUUUCAAUUUGGGUGAAUUUGGCUUAGUGGUAAGGUAUUAUUAUUUGCUACUUGUAGAAAUUGUGUUUGAUUCCCUUCCCAAGUUCUACAUUUUAGCCUUAAGAUUUAUACAUAAUGUAAAUGAUAAAGUAAAAUUAACAUGUAUCAGAAUGUGAAAAAGAUAAUCGGCAGUUGGUGAGGUGCAAAACUUUACUGUUAGGUAAGGACCAAAGGACAUGCGGUGCAAUGCAAGUGCAACCCAAAAAUUCCAGGGUAUGCAAAAUAUAAUAAAACAAUAUAAUUGGUAUAAAAUUUAAGAUCUUAGGGUGUGCGCAGCUGCACACCCUGAAGUGCACUUAACUCCGCCCUUGGUAAGCGCCUUAUAGUAUGCCAUAUGAGGCUCCAAGGUUGCCAACCAAGGAGGUGACCCUAAACUUACAUCAGCCCCGGCCAUGGAAAGAAGAAACAUUGGUACUAAUAAGGUUUUUUUAGUUAUUUUUGGCAGCACUUGUUUAUAAUGCAAAUAACUACUCUAGCUAUGAGUUUGACAAACCUGAUGAAAGAGGAUUUCAAGUUUCCUUAGCACGUGGUAAGUAUGCCAGUUUUAUUAAACAGAGACCGCGCUUAAAUGAUUUACGUUUGUAUUCACAAGAUAUAGUUGUGUUGGGAUUGAAUUUCAGUAACUAUUCCUCGUAUGUUUCCUUUUAAUCGAUUGUAUACUUUUUAUACUUCAGAUAUUGUUGUGAAUCCGGUUAAAACUCACACCAAUGAAAACAAAGGUGUGUGGAGCAAGAGAUAGUGGUAAUCAAUGGGCAAAAUGGUUUCCAAGCAAACAACAACAAAAACAGCCCUAGACUAAUGUAGAGCAAAACCACACAAAGAGAUAACAAAGCAAAACAAGAUAAGCAAGAAAGGAAGAACAAAACACCAAGAAGAUUGUUGACCCAGUUCAGCCAAUAUGGCCUAAUCUGGGGGAGAGAGCAGCUCUCCAAUCCAAUAUGAUGAAAGUGUUACAAAGGGUUACAAGAAACAAUAGCCUUCAAGCUUACACAAGAACAAGCCCUAGAUUCUACCCAUAUGUGUUUCCCCACUCUCACAAUAUGAACCCUAAAAGAGAAGACACUAGAGGAAGCUUUAGAUCCUUCCAACUAAUGAACUCCUCACUACCCAAGGUGAUUACAAUGUUUUUCCCAACCCAAGAGACACUAUCUACAAAGACGCUCAACCCUUUGGUUCCCUCCUUUGUAAUCCAAGUUUCUCUCUCUAAGCUCUUCCAAGCUCUCUCUAAAAUCUGCACAAGAACACAAUAUAUACUAGUCUUCCUCUGAAGAAAUCGUGCCACGAUUUCCAGAUCGUGUCACGAUUUGCGUACAACCCAAGGUAUGACCAGUCCUUAUCAGUGGUACUUAACGAGCAAGUUUCUGAAUCGUGUCACGAUUUCCCAAGAUCGUGCCACGAUUUGGCGUCCUGCAAACUAGCUCACGGCACCUCGAGAUCGUGUCACGAUGCCAAAAUCGUGUCACGAUUUCUCUGUUCUUCCAGACCACAAAUUUGAAGCCAAUAUCAACAGAUAUAAUUUCAGCUUUCCCUCAUCGUACGUCUCCGACUAAGGUUAACGGCACAAGAUCCAUAAAACAACCGAUUUUUGAUGCAUGACAGCCAAAUAGCCUAUUGUUUCUAUGUCAUAAGCUCGGAAAGUUAUACACGAAUAUAAAACUACCCGCGAUCUCUCGGGCGAUAACACCUAUACAUAAUUUAAACCAUGUCCUUUAGAUAGUCAGAAUUACUAGGAUUUCUAGCGAAUCGGUCAUUUUUAGAUUGACCGCGAGAAAUGAUUCACAAGGAUUUCUCGUGAAUCAGUCAUUUUUGAAAGUGUCGUUUGAAAUGCAUGCUUCAAAUUUUGAAUUGUAUGGGCAAGUCUUAUGUUUACCACUAAUUUGGAAUCAGACCAUGAAUGUGCAGUUUAUUCAAAACACAAAAUUUAUUUCAUACAUUCCAAGCCAAUAACAAAACUAAUAAUGAAUCACACCUAACACACUUCUUUGUAAGUAGAUAAUGAAAUAUAAAGAUCAUGUGUGGACUUGAACUCACAUAUGACAAUCUUGCUAACAUCUUGAUAUCAAGUUAUGCAUUCAUCCAAGCUUAUUACUUCGAAAGUAUUUAAGCAUGGAUCAAUAAGGUUUUUAAGGGUUGUAAUGAGGCUUGGUUACAAAAGAAUUUCCAUUUGUAUGGACAUUUGAAUCAAAGUGGCCUUAUUAUAAAGGAGCCUUCAUACAUUUACAAAACACAUCUCAUUUUUUAUUUUUCAAAACCUUAGGUGAUUAUGAUAGUUUGAUACAACUAUACUUGAAAACUUUGCCGGCCAAUAAACGACAGAGUUAAAACAAAACAUUGCCGGCCUCCUAUGCAUUUAGUAAAAACAACUGAAAGAUUCCUCACAUUUUGGUUUGGUUCUAAGUGACUCAUGCUAAAAGAAUGUUAUUGUGGAGCAAUGCAUGAAAUGAUUCUGUAUAAUGUGCAAAUUUCACAUGCAAAAUAUCAUUCAAGAAAAGCGGUAAAUAUGUACCUUGACUUUGCACAAUCUUUUCAAAGAUGUUAUCAUAUCAUGCAUUUGCUUCUGAUUCAUUUAAUGUCUUUGGACAAAUUUGAAGCUUUCACAUUCAUUUAUUCAUUUAAACAACCAUAAAUAUAAACAUAAACGAAACCGGUUGUCUUAAAGUUAUUACACCACAAUUAAACAUAAAAUUCAAACAUAACACAAAGUUAAACAUCUCAUAUACGAUGUAGUCUCACCACAUUAAAAGAUCAAAUUAUUUAACAUAACACAAACAUAAGUAAAUAUCAAAGACUAAACAUGAAGGAGAAUUAUAAACUGAAAAACAUCAUAAAAACAUAUCACUUGGUAUGGCGUGCUUUCCGUUUUACUCGAUCUUUCUCAAGAGUCUUUUAUACUCUUACUCUUUUGGAUCCACUUCAAUGAAGUCAUUUCCUUGGUCCAAUCAUGUUCCAUCAUCAUCACUUGUUCCAGCUUUAGCAUGAUCACCUUGAGCAUUUGCUCUGACCCUCUCUGGAUAAAAUGGCAUGUCCACAGGCCACUGGACAUAGGCAUUGUAGGAAUCCAGGUUGAUCACUGGAAAGUCUCUGGUUCCUGGAUUUUGCAUUUGUAUCAGCAACCUGUACAUAUAGCCAUUCAAACUAGUAAGGGAUCUAUUCUGGGUAUCGACUAUAUCCCAGCUAUGUGUAAAUGAUGCUCUAAUACGUGGAUCCCUUCUACCAGAAUGAGAUUUUCUUUAGGUCCUUUUUUUAAAACCGUGUUUGGUUGAAUUUAUGUUUUCUGCAUUCUGUUAUGGUUAUGGGAUAUUUCAGAUUAUAUAAGUCGAACAUAAUAUAUAUGUUUAGACUUAUAUAAUCUGAACAGUAAGUUUUUACGCCCCAUGCAGACGUACUUAGGCUACAUGGAGGUAUGGUGUUUGGGGCAUUUCGGAUUGUAUAAGUCGAGAUAAAUAUAUAUGUUUUGUCUUAUAUAAUCUGAAACAAUUCUCAAAACCAGAACAUAAUACGUUUUUUUCGUUUUCUUCUGCACUCCAACUAACAAUUUUGUAUACAAUCUAGUACCGUUCAAAGAUCUAGUUGUUUAUGAAAGAACAGUUUCAACAGUUUAUUUUUUCCAGAGACAACCUCUAUGCGUCCACCUCCAAAAAAAAAUCAUUACAAAAGGGGCCCCCAAAGAAGGAUACACAUAUUGUACGCUCAACAAAGCAGUCACCUUCACUCUAGGAGCAUGUUGACUCUCGGAACCCAGAUACCCAGACUUCACAGACCAAGUCAAUAGGGUCAACUAGGAAAAGUGCACGUAAAAGUAAUAUGUCUCCUAAUCCUCCUAAGCCAUGUCUGGGCAAAGUCAAUUUCUCCAAAAGAAUUAAUCCAGUCGUUCAUGCAUGAAUUUAUUGAAAAAGCGGCGGACGUAGUGAUGGUCAUUGUAGAUUCCAUACAGUUGCAGGCCUACGCAACCCGUCUGUUGAUGAUUAUCAUAUAAUCCAUUAUCAACUUCUAAAAGAGCUUAACGGUGAAGAUAGUGUCCGUUAUCGCCGAUUGAUUGAGUCGGAAAAUCGCUUCAAGCAGAUCUUACACGCCCUUACCAGUGAUGGUAUUGGUCUUGCUCCACCGAAAAAAUGGAUGAUCAUGACGGAUAUGAGUUUCCUCAUUGCACAUAGAUACAAGCAUGUGGUGGUUCUAUUGUCCAUCGAGAAAGGGCAAUUGAAAACCUUUUUCCCUCUACGUGGUGAACCUUCACAUAGAGAUUGAAUGUUGUGUCAAGCACAUGUGAAUAACAACCAUUUUAUGAUGAUAUAUUUGAAGGAUGGUUAUCCAAUUCCUUCCACUUCUGUGCUAUGGAGACAACAUUGUCGAGAAUAUGCAAAAAAAUGGGAUGAAAGAUAUGUCGGUAGAAUGAUUGCCAAUAAUGGACUAAGUCUGUCGGCGUGUUAUGAGGUAAUAUGAGAUGAUGAUUUGUAGCUUGUUGAAAACAUUAACCUUGAAGAGAAGGUUGUUGGCUUGCUUCUCAUAAGAAGCUCGGAGAUGGAGUCAAGAUUGAAAAGGAUGAAAGCCCUAUCCUUAAUGAUUGUAGUAUGGAUCUUGGAAUAGAUUAGUCGAAAUGUAUAUCAUUAUCAACUGCAUAAUGAUUUUUUGAUAUAAUGAUUUUUUUAUAUAAUUAUAAACUCCAUCUUUUAUAUUUUUUAUAUAAUUAAAAUUUGUUGAAUCCACAAAGACAUCAAAUUUAAGCACUUUUGAAUUUCAUAAAUUGAACGAAAGGUAUUUUCAAGAGAAAAAAUAGGGCCACAAGAAACCCAUAAGAUAGAAAAAAAUAGUAAAAAAAACUAACUAUAAUCUGCCUCUAGCAGCAGAGCAAGAUCAAUGCACAAAUAAAUAAAUAAUAGUUUUUCCUCGCAUAUUAUUCUAGAAUUUGAAUGAAUGAAGUUUUAUUUUGCUGUCUAAAAAAAAAAAUGAAAUGGUAGAGAACUUUCAUGAUCCGAAUAAAAAAAGUUUUGUUAACGAGUGUCCCAUGACAUUCUUUAAGAAUCCCAAAUUUAGUAAUUAUUCUUUUAAAAGGUUAACUAUUACAAUUUUCAAUGCAUUGAAUACACAACUUUUUAUAAAAACUUUUUUUUGAUCAAAACACUAAAAUAUACUACCUCAAUUCCUUUUUAAUUGUCACAUUUUGACAUUUUACACAAACCAAGACAAUCAACAAUUGAUACUACUUUUGAUGCAAUAAGGUAUACUUUUACUAUAAUGACCUUAUUCAUUUAAUAUUUCAUUUCAUAUAUUUCUCUCUUCGCAAUAAAUAACUAAGGACAAUAUUGGUAAAACAACAUUUAAUGUUGUAUUGAACUUUGAAAGUGACAGUUAAAUAGGAACAAAAAUUUUCUCCAAAAGUGACACUUAAAAAGGAACGGAGGGAGUAAAAGACAAGAGAGACCUGAACCGAUACAGCACAAUCACAAAGUGAAAAACCUAUGAAAAGAAAAAUCAAAUCUAUCCCAAGAAGGAAAGGUCUUAAGGAAAGAGGUGUCAAAGACCACCAUUGCAGGGAAAAACUAGACAAAUAAUGACCAUUCUUGCCAAUCAACUGCUACAAGACUACCCUCUACGAAAAUUUGAACAAAAGUAUUUAUAUUCCCACUUAUUCUAUUGCAAUUGAACCAACUAUUAUGUAUCUGCCAAGGCAUCUUUGGAGGUACCCUUUUGGACACGAGUGCUCAUUCCGGCUGAGUUAAAGCUAGUAGGCUUCAUUUUGUUCAUCUGCUUCUUCUUCUUUCUCUCUACCUUAGUACUCUCAGAUAGACUUGGAUAGUGCUGCUGAACCAUAUAAAAUACUUAAAGAGCGCUCGGGACACUGGUUAACAUUUUAAAAAAUAAUAAUAGGACCUAACAUAAAAAAUGACAGAGAACUAUAACUAUCAUUAAGCUGAUCUAUUAGAAUACUCCUUAACCAAUGCUGCAAAAAGUGAAGGCCUUUCAAGCAAACGUGAUGGCUUGUCAUAUUCCUUUGCAUAACCUGCCAAAAACAUCAAAUACCCCACAAUUCAUUAUUCAACCAAUCUAACUCUAUAUAUAUUUAUUUCGUACAAUAGUUGAACGAUUUUAAGAUAUAAACAGCAAGUUUUUUUGUCAAAAUUUUGGUAAUAGUAGAAACUACAAUGCUAAAUGGUUUUUUAUUAAUAUGACACUUCAAAUUGAAGGAUGUCUUGUAUAUGGCAACAAUAAAACACUGUCAUAUGCGAUUAUGUUCAAUAACUUCUGAUUUUUUAAAUUGUUGUCUCCUGGUAUGUGUAUGUGUUUGAAGUUUCUCAACACAUAUGGAUAUAUAGCAUAAACAUACCUUCAUCUAUGACCAAAACCUUGUCACAAUCCAUAACUGUUGGUAUUCUAUGAGCAAUGCUAAUGAUUGUACGAUCCGCAAAGUCUUCUCUGAUGAUCUUCUGUAAUACAACAUCAGUUUGCGAAUCAACUGAUGCUGUUGCUUCAUCCAUGAAUAAUAUUUUGCUGCGUUUUAGCAUGAUCCUUCCCAAGCAUAGAAGUUGCCUUUGCCCCACACUCCAAUUGUCUCCACCAUCAACCACUAACAAAAUAAUAUAGUAAGCACAUUUCAGUUCAAAUUCGAAUAUAGUCUAUGAAGGAGUAGUCCAGUGAUGUGUGUCGGGACGCUGAAUAGGUAUUAAGCUUCUGCCGACAAAUUAAUCACCAACAUUUAUCUAUAAAAAAACUUCUAAAACAUGAGAUUUAUGAGUUGAUUUUAUUUGAUCACCUAAAGCGUCAAGUUUCUCAGGCUUUGCAGCCACAGCAUCUUUCAAUUGGCACCGCUCAAGACUCUGCAGAAACAAACAUAAACAUAAAGUUAUUAGAUAUGAGAAGGUAAAACUAUUAACUGAAUUUCAUUCACACAUGUAAUAUCUUCUUUUUCUCUCUAUUUCUCCCUUUUACAAUGCACAAACAAUGAUGCAAGAAAAUAGUUGAUGUAGGAAAAUCUCAGCCAUCUGAUUUUGAUCAGUAAUUUACAAUAAUAUUGAUUUAUUUGUUGGGUUUUAAAUCCGGACCUUCCAAUUUCAAUCAAGCGAUCUUCAAUGUAUUGACAAUCAAUAGAAAUAUUAAACCAUGUUAAAAUAAUUUCAGCUAGGGCUUUGUUGUCCUCUUUAUUGGUUAUUAUAGAGAUGUUUAAAAGAACUUAUCUUAUGACAUAAACACUUGUGUAAGUAUUUGAGUGUUGAGUAUGACUCUUAUUCUUAGUUACCGAUAAGUAGAAAGGUUGAUCGUGCGAAGCGAGAUAGACCUCCCACUGGGCUAAGUCUAAAGGUUUGUUGGGUUGAGACACGGGUGUGUGGGGGCCGAAACCUCCUUGCAUUAUGGUUUAGGAGUAAUUUUCUACUUUGAACCGUAGUAUUUAAAUACAAGUUGUAUACUGUAAACUCUAAUCUUUCACUAAUAGUAGAAAUGAACUGUAGCCUCUUUACAGCAGUCGGAGACUAUUGGCCGAACUUUUAUUUUAAUACACUGCAUAGUUUAUGAUAUGUCCAUAGACUAUUUUUAGUUGAUUUUCAUUAGCUCUCGAUGAUAACUGAAAUAAGACUUAUGCAGAUUCUGCCUUAUUUCAUCUUCAAUUAUAAAAGCAGCUUAUGUCUAAGAAGUUCUAAAAAUAAAAAAAAUAAAAGAUUUUUUAAUUAAAAUAAAACAAACAAGCAAAUAUGCAGUGUAUUAUAUACCUUCCAGAUUUCUUCUUCUGAAUACAAGCCAAGAGGAUCAAUGUUGGUUCUUACUGUUCCUUGAAAGAGGACAGGCUCUUGUGGAAUAAUUCCAAAACGCGACCUCAAAUCAUGAAGGCCAACAUUGGAAAUGUUAAUACCAUCAAUGAUUAUUUUUCCAGCUGAAGGCUCAAUCAACCUAAAUAACACUUGAAUGAGUGUUGAUUUUCCACUUCCUGUACGGCCAACGACACCGACUUUUUCUCCACCUUCAAUUGUUAGAGAGACUCCCUUAAGAACUAGAGGAGUGUUUGGCCUAUACCUAACCUGCUCACACCAUUUAAUAACGAAAUAUAUUAAAUAUGUACUUAAAGAAUGCAUGUUACUACUGUUUCAAAAAAAAAGAAAAUAAUGCAUGUUACUAUGAGAAAUUCUUGAUCAGUACCAUUGCGUAGAAAACUACUACCGUUUACUUUUGGUGUUUCCAAAAAUAAUGGUAUUUCCUGUUUCUAUCUCUACAUCAUAUUUUACUUUUCAACAAUUCAUGCUUCACAAUAUUCUCAAUUCUGAACUAAACAUAUUGUCCUAAAGAGUAACCAACAAAUGCUUCUUUUCCCAAAUGGUAUACACUAAUUUUGGUUGAUUUAUGCAGGUCUCUGUUCUCACCACAUAUUAAAUUGACUAAUCUUGCAAAUAGUAUAUACCUGUAAAUUAUGUAACUCUAUAGUGCCAUGACUAGGCCAAUUCUGAGGAGGAGACUUGUCAGCAAUUUUCCAUGGAGCUUCUGAUGAGAGGUUAGUAAACUGUUUUAUCCUCUCAACUGAAACCAUUUUGUUCUCAACAUUGCAAGUCAUAGAUAUGGUAAUCGACAAGAGACCACUCAGAGCCAGGCCAUAAGACAAAGACAUACCAACAUAUUCUGCAAAACCAAAAUUAUAUCCAAGUGGAACAAUUCUUGUCAGUAGGACAUCUUUUAUAUUUACCUAAAUAUUAAAAGUAUGGGAUUUGCUAGAACACACCUGCUAGUUUUUGUAAAGGGUAUUUUAGCAACAUGCACCUUAGAGUCUAUUCAACAAAUUUUUAGUUAUCACUUGCUAAGAUACUCCUAAAAAAAGAGUGGGUGUAUUUUAACAAAUAUCUAUAUGAGCUGUUAAUUUACGCCCACUUAUUUUUUAAGAGUAUUUCAGCAAUCAGGGUGAAUUUAACCAUUUUUUAGUUAGUACUUGCUAAAAUACUGCUUCUAGAAAAAUAGUAUAAUGAGAUCAAGUUAUUUGAGUUUAGCUACCAACGUAAGCACUUGAGGGACUGUUUGGAAGAGUUUAUGGAAACAACUUAUGACAUAUCCAUACAUUGUUUUCAGCUUAUUUCUAUAAGCUGUCAAAGAUAGCCUGUGAAAACAACUCAUAACUUAUAUGAAAACAACUUUGACUUUAUUUGAUGUUCACUAUAGAAAUAGUUUAUACAUAAGCAUUUAUACUCUAAGCGCUUGAUAAACCUGUAUAUCCAAACAGAACCUUAGUUCUUGACUAAAAUGAUCGAAAUAGGGUUUUAAAAAAAGUCUCAGACUGUGAUCUCUUAGCCACAACGUUAAGAUUUUUUAUAUUUCUGUGAUUGCAGUCGCGAUCAAGGUCACAUCAGCCGCAUUUGACUGUGUUUUGCGACAAAAGGACCACGGCAGUGACCUUUGCUGUGACAGGGUUUUAAAACCUUUUUAAAAUAGUGAUUGUUCAUGAUACUUGUUAAAUGAAAAGAUGAUGAAGGGAAUUAUACCUGGCCUAGCAAUAGCACUUGGCAAAAAGAUCAUAAAAAGCGUGGCAAUGCAAAGGAAAGUCACUCCCAUAUAGUCCAAGCGAAAACCAAGCCAUUCAUUUGCACCAUUGUUAUGAAAAUCCAUUCUUAGACUUGCAUUCACCCUGUCAACAUUUUCUUGAGAAAAUGCAUUCUGCUUUCUUGAGCUACGGAUUGUCAUAACACCAGAAAUGGUCUCUGAAAAGUGAUGAAUCACUGGAGCUUUUGUGAUUGAAUCAAGUCGAGUCAAUUCCCUAGAAGUUGCAAGAUAAUAUUUCUGCAAACCAAAAUGCACCAAAAUAAGCACUUGUAAUACUGUUUAGGAGAUCUUGUGAAACAACUUUGACAUGUCUAUAAGUUGUUUUUAGCUUAUUUCCACAAGCUCUUUUUGGUUGCUGAAAACGUAAAUAGGAGUAAGUAUAUCAUACCCUAUACCAGUUGCUGAGCCAAAACAGUGGAAUUAAUAGGAAGACGGUCUCCCAAGAAUUCUGGCACGUGACUACGAGGAUACUGAAUAAUCCUACUAAUGUUGUCGUCACUAAGUUUACAAAGAUUGGAAUUUGUAUAUCCAGGGAAAGUAUAUCGGUAGAUACCUAAACAAUUCAUAACAUGAGUAGAGUUAGCAAGUCCAACAACUACUAUUUAAAGAAGAGAUGUGUUAUUUUGACAUAAAAUGGGACAACAAAAUUCGACAAUGGUUAUCAUUCAAAUGCGUGGUUUAUUGCAUUAAUUAGAUGGUUAAUGAAUAUUACAAGUUGUUGCAACUCAUUAUUCAUCCAAAAAACACAGUUAACCAAAAAAUUUAAGUUAUAUUUGAACACAAAUUGUGGCUCACACAUAUCAUGUAUAUUAUAAAACAACAAUAAUUUGAACUUGAACAUAAUUUGGAUGGUUAUAAUAAAUAUCGUAUAUAUUUUAAACACCUGAAAAAUCUUGGUUAACCCCAUGCAGAUAUGUAGUUAAUUACGCUAUGUGGAUGAUUAAUAGGUUGCAACACUUUGUUAUAUUCAUUAAUCAUCUAUUGAACGUAAUUAACCAAAUAGUUGUCGAUUUCUGUUGUCAAAUUUAUGCAUCAAAAUAUCAUUUCUCAUUCAAAGAAUAGGCUAGUUUACUAGAGCAGAAAUUGAAUGAACUCACACGACUCAAAAUUCUUCCAGAAGGAGUAGUAUCAAAGAAUGACAUUGGUGCAUGAAGGAUACUUUGAAGCAUUCCAACGAAGAAGCUUUGAGAUGUCUUUAAACCCCAAUAUGUAAAAAAGAAAGCUCUUGCCAUAACCACUAUACAUGACACAACAGCUAUAACAGCAUAGACAGUAAUGAAAGUGAAAGAAGAAACGGCAGAAUCAUCUGCAGUAGCAAUUGCUAGCCAAUAAUCACUAACCAAAAAUGACAGCAUCCAAACUACUGAUACUGCUACCAUUAAUGCUACUCCCCACCAUCCAAAUGCUUCUGUGAAAUAUUGUUUGUAUACUUCAAGAUUCACUUGUCCAAUUUCUCUUUCCUCAUCUUCAAUGAGCUUUGCUGCAGUUUUAUCAGACUUGGAUUGAAUUUGAGAAGACUGUUUUUCUCCGCUUUCUUUUUCUUUUGAAAUGACGCGGGCGAGUUUUGGAGAUUGAGCGGAAUCAUCACUAGUUUUCUCACUUGUUUCUGCUAUUUCCAUUGAGGAUUCAUGAGCAGCUACAAGUGCACCAAAAUCUAGGCCUGCUUUGAGAAGUUCAUCAUACUUUCCACUUUGCACUACUCUCCCUUCUCGCAUCACCUUUGAAAUUGGUAUCAAAACAAGCCAAGUUUCUCAGUUGAACUUGAAAAAACUUUAAUGUUUAAGGUUAUUUAUUGCAAACAAGUUAUCAGUUCUCAGCAAUCUCAAAAAUGAUGACUGUGAUAGAUUAACAGUGCAAAAAAAUUACGCUGAAAGUGUAUAAAAAUUAAUCUAUAUAUUUUCCCCCCUGAUGAGUGUGAUUGAUUAACAGUGUAAAUAUUUUACGCUGAAAGUGUAUAAAAAUUAAUCUAUUUGUUUUUUCCCCCUUAUUUGGUGAAAGGAUUAUAAAAUACAUGUAUAACACCAUUGAUUAACACCUACAUCAUGAGUAUUGUCACUCACUAUUGGUAAGAUAACUUGGGAGAAACUGAAUUGAACUGUCAUUUACAUAAAAAAUCAAACAUUUUAGGGACUUGUGAGCAUAUACAUACCAUUAUAGAGUCAACAUUAUGCAAGAAAUCAACUUGGUGUGUUACAAGUAAAACUGCCUUAUCUUUGAGAGUUCCCAUGAUACAUUCCUGCAACAAAAAUAGAGAAUCAGGAACUUCAUUCGUGACUGCAUUAGAAAAAAACUGACGUUAUCAUUUUGAUUAAUAUAAUAUAAUGUUUCUAAAAUGAGAAACAUCGUUAUAUCACUAAAAACUAGAAAAUUAAGCUAUUUAGCACUUCUUGUAAGUUGUAACUUUGUGCUUACCUUAAAAAUAAAUGAUCCUGUUUGAGCAUCAACAGCACUGAAUACAUCAUCAAGGAGAUAGAUGUCACUGUCCUGAUAUACAGCUCUAGCAAGUUGUAUGCGCUGUUUCUGGCCGCCACUGAGGUUAAUACCGCGCUCUCCAAUCUCGGUUUCGUCACCAUCUUCCAUCAUUACAAGAUCCUUUUCAAGGCAGCACACUCUUAGAGCUUCCUUGUACUUUUCCAUGUUCAUUGGCAAACCAAACAAUAUGUUUUCUUUGAUGGUUGCAUUCUGAAUCCAUGAUGUUUGUGCUACAUAUGCCGUCGUCCCACAAACUCUAACCUGUAACACAAAAUCUUUUUCAAUACAUUUGAAAAGCAUAGUCAUAAAUUCUUGCAACAAAAACAGUCUCACAAAUGUUUAUGCUAAUAGAUAAGCUCAAAUAAACCAGUCUUAAUAGGCCUUACACCUGAUAUGAAUGGUUCAAUUUUUUCCCAUGUGUCUUAGAAGAUGAUGAACAAAACAACCUUGUGAAUGUCAUGAAUCUUAAAGAUCAACGUUCAUGUUCUCUAAUAGUUAUAUGAUAUGCAUGUGCCAAAUCCUAUCCUAGGACAUGAAACAUAUACUUUUUUUAACAUGAAUGAAUUAAUACCUAGGUUUUAGACUGUGAUCACUGUCUCAGUAGUAGAAAAUAGAAAAUGAAGACAAGAAGGCCUAAUGCGAUAGAGUUUUGCUGUUGUAGCUGCAAUUACAGUUUUUAGCGCAACAAUUUCUAGCCUGGAUGAACCAAAUACAAAACUUUUUUAACUCUCCAGUUCUCAUGGGAACAAGUCCCUGAUAAUCCGGAGUUCAGUCGGGAGGUAAUUAAUGUUACAGUCAUAAUUCAAACUUGGAUUCUCCAAAAUGAUACAAAAUACUAUUCUUUUGUGCAAGAUGAAGAAAAUAACCUGAAGUGUGUUGAUUGUAAAAAAAAAUUCACGAGUCCAAGGCAAAAAAGCAUACCUUUCCUGAGAUCUUGAACAUUUCCCCCAACACAGAAGCCAGUAAUGAAGACUUGCCUGAUCCAACAGUUCCUACAACAGCAGCAUGGUCCCCUUUCUUAAUCACCAAUUCCUUAACUCGCAAAGCCUCAUUCUCAUCCAUAUCAUCCCAAGAAAAUUUCCCAUCUUUUAUCUCCACAGCUACAUCACCAUUACAGUUCUCCUCUCUUUGCACUGCAUUCUCAUCCAUUUCCUUACUCAUCAUGAACUUAUCCAACCUCCCUAAUGAUAUCGUUGCUUGCGAAAUAUUGAUAAGAGCCUGUGGAAAAGUACUCAUAGGCUCUUGAAGUAUCUUGAUCACUGCAGUUACUGUGAAAACAGUGCCAGCAUUCAGAGGAAUCCCCAUAAAAGUUGCAACUCCAAAUGUAAGAACAGUUAUAGCUAAAGGAGAAGUAGUCAAAACUCCCAUGUUCACAGCAAAAUAGUACAAGAAUUUCCCAAUCCAUCCAUGUUCGGCUUCACGAAACUGUUGAAUCUUGUUCCCGAAGUACUCUUCCCACGCUUGAAAUUUAAUCACACGCAUGUUGUUAAGCAACUCAUUCGUUGACUUCAUUCUCGAAUCGCGGCUCAUCAUUAUCCGAAACUGAAAAACAUUACUAUUCUUCGAUCGAUAUGCAGUGAAGCAGAAGACAAUGGCAGUACCAAGAAUUGCUGCAACGACAGAUACACCAACAUAGCUAUACAUAAGAGCCAAUGCAGCGGCAACUUGUAAUGGCAUCAUCCAAAUAGGAUGAAACUGCUUCAUCAAGUCUGAGAGUUGUUGAGCAUCAACAGCCAUGUGAUUCACAAUCUGUCCAGUUCCAUGAGCCUGUCUUGAAGAACUUGACAACCUUAAACCCUUUUUGUAAACCGAAGUGAUUAUGCUCGAGCGAACAAGCAUACCUAGUUUCUGAGAAUGGAAGUUGAAUUGAUGAACACUAAGUACUUCAACAGAUUUUGCUGCAAAAAGGACACAUAUCAAAACAAUACCUUCACUAGUCGGACUAUCUUUCUGUGAUGUGAAAUCAACAAAACUCUGAAUCAGCAAUGGACCGACAUACAUAACACAAAGCCUCAUGAAUGCAAGAAAGCCAGUGAAAACUAUGUGUUUCCAAAAACACCUAAAAAGGGUAACUCCAACUGGAUGCUUACUGUUUUCCUCUGGUUUCGGCCAAUUGUUUUGAAAAAGUUCAGACAUUUUUUCUGCUCUAAAAUCAAGAGGAAGUGAAGGAACAUCUUCUAGUUUAAGGGGUGUUUGGUAGCCUUUAUUGAGUAAAGGAUUCAGCCAAAACCACCCUGUUUUGGACAAAAAUGAAGAAUGGGCAUAAGGACUCAAAGUUCUAUCGAUUGAAAUCGAUGGAUAUGUGGCUACUACAUCGGAUAUUCUUAUCACAUGAAUACCUGAUGACCCUUUUAUUGAUAUGACAAAAAAGAACACAGAUAAUGGAAGAUUAACCAAUGAGAAUAUGUCAUCUAUUCUCAAACUAAGCUCCAACUUUUCUUCACGGACAGUUAUCAAUCGAACAAUAGCCGAAACAGCAAACAAAGUAGCAAUCACAAAGUUUGCUAUCCAAUAGAUUCUUAGUGAUAAAGGGUGUUUGGAAGAUUUGAACUUUUUCUCAUGUAACAUUAGAAUCACUAUAACUAUGUUGGUUAUUGCUUGAAACAACCGAAAAAGUGCUUCUAUUUGUUUCCAUGAAGAAAGGUUAUUGGUUUGAGUAAAAGCCAAGAUUCCUAGAACAGUGUAACUUAUAGCCAAAAGGGUAGUUACCAAAAAGGCUAGUUUGAACAAAAAGGUGAUUUUAUAGUCAGAAUCUUUCUCUUGCAGAAGUGGUUUUGUGAUUGAGGAGCUAGUGUUUGCUCUUGAAUAGAAUCUUGAAUAGAGUUUUUGAGCUGCAAAAGCUAAGAGGGAGAGCAAAAACAAGGAAUCAAGAGCAGAAAGUAGAAGUCUCUGAGGACAAGGAGAUAGGAAAAUGAACCUUAACCAUUGAAGAAUGAAUUGUGGUGUAGAAGAAGAUGAAUGUAAAGGUAAAAGGGUGCAUGAAGGAGAAGUUAGCCAUGCAGAAGUAGAAGAAGACAUGGCUAUAAGAUUAUGGAAUGAUAAUUGUUAAGGUUUCAUAUUAUUUGUUAGAAAAUAUGUAAUGAGUUUGUUGCAGAAAGUAUGAGAGACAGAGC